GAAAUAAAAUAAAAGGAAGAUGGUAUCACCUUCUCAUCUUCUUCACCACCACCGAAAUUUUCAGCAAAGGGAAGGGUUUUGAAGCUUUAAAAUUUUAGCUAGGUUAUCCUCUUGCAAAUCAAGAGAAAUGUGAUUCGGGUCUUGAUCAGGGAAAGAACAAAGUUUAUAAGGAUUAAGCUUGUUCCCAUCGUUUUGUACCGAGUGUUGUCAAGCUCGUAUCGAGGAUCAAAGGACGUCGGAGGCAUUGGUCACACUAUCACUUGAAGCUUUUGGUAUAGUUAAUUUAAAUGUUGUAAUUUUGGCAUGUAUAGGGACUCAAAUCUUUAGUUUAGUGUCUUGUUCGAUCAGCCACAAGUGUUGGCUCUUAUGAUGGAUGUGAUAACAUUUUGUAUAGGCCAUUAAUGUUGGCUAAUAUUAAUUAUUAUUAGAUUCAUUUGAUGCAAA